UACAGAGGUGGCAAGCGUUGUUCGGAAUUACUGGGCGUAAAGGGCGCGUAGGCGGCUUGGUCAGUCCCGUGUGAAAUCCCGGGGCUCAACCUCGGAACUGCCUUUGAUACUGCAAAUCUCGAGUCCGGAAGAGGUGAGUGGAAUUCCUAGUGUAGAGGUGAAAUUCGUAGAUAUUAGGAAGAACACCAGUGGCGAAGGCGGCUCACUGGUCCGGUACUGACGCUGAGGUGCGAAAGCGUGGGGAGCAAACAGG
rnacentral:rRNA from 1 species